rnacentral:misc_RNA from 1 species
AUGCGAUAAGUAAUGUGAAUUGCAGAAUUCAGUGAAUCAUCGAAUCUUUGAACGCACCUUGCGCUCCUUGGCAUUCCGAGGAGCAUGCCUGUUUGAGUGUCGUCAAAAUUCUCAGAACCUCCUAUCUGAUGUGAUGUGGAUGGACCAUGGUGGCGGCGCUCCGCCCUCCGCCUUUGGUCCGCCACUUCUUCAGGCAGCGGGGUCUGGAUCGGUGGAGGAUGCAUUGCUCGGGCUAAACCUUUGCUUUGCUUCUCUGAAAUGGAUCGGCGUUACGGCUUCGUUGUCGGUAUGAUACAUGUCUUACCUGCUUCCAACCUGUGCCAGCCUUGAACACAAACACGCUCUCACGAUUUGACCUCAAAUCAGGCAGGACUACCCGCUGAACUUAA